GAUGAAGAACGUAGCGAAAUGCGAUACGUAAUGUGAAUUGCAGAAUUCAGUGAAUCAUCGAGUCUUUGAACGCACAUUGCGCCCCCUGGUAUUCCGGGGGGCAUGCCUGUCCGAGCGUCAUUGCUGCCCUCAAGCACGGCUUGUGUGUUGGGCCUCCGUCCUCCUCCCGGGGGACGGGCCCGAAAGGCAGCGGCGGCACCGCGUCCGGUCCUCGAGCGUAUGGGGCUUCGUCACCCGCUCUUGUAGGCCCGGUCGGCGCUUGCCGACACAUCAAUCUUUUUUCCAGGUUGACCUCGGAUCAGGUAGGGAUACCCGCUGAACUUAAGCAUAUAAUAAGCGGAGGA
rnacentral:misc_RNA from 1 species